rnacentral:rRNA from 1 species
AUUGAACGCUAGCGGGAUGCCUUACACAUGCAAGUCGAACGGCAGCGCGGACUUCGGUCUGGCGGCGAGUGGCGAACGGGUGAGUAAUGUAUCGGAACGUGCCCAGUAGCGGGGGAUAACUACUCGAAAGAGUAGCUAAUACCGCAUACGCCCUACGGGGGAAAGGGGGGGAUCGCAAGACCUCUCACUAUUGGAGCGGCCGAUAUCGGAUUAGCUAGUUGGUGAGGUAAAGGCUCACCAAGGCGACGAUCCGUAGCUGGUUUGAGAGGACGACAAGCCACCCUGGGACUGAGACACGGCCCAGACUCCUACGGGAGGCAGCGGUGGGGAAUUUUGGACAAUGGGGGAAACCCUGAUCCAGCCAUUCCGCGUGUGCGAUGAAGGCCUUCGGGUUGUAAAGCACUUUUGGCAGGAAAGAAAUCGCAUCAAUUAAUACUUGGUGUGGAUGACGGUACCUGCAGAAUAAGCACCGGCUAACUACGUGCCAGCCGCCGCAGUAA